UACGAAGGGGGCUAGCGUUGUUCGGAAUUACUGGGCGUAAAGGGCGCGCAGGCGGCCCUCCAAGUCAGGCGUGAAAGCCCCGGGCUCAACCCGGGAAUAGCGCUUGAGACUGGGGGACUUGAGUCCGGGAGAGGUGAGUGGAACUGCGAGUGUAGAGGUGAAAUUCGUAGAUAUUCGCAAGAACACCAGUGGCGAAGGCGGCUCACUGGCCCGGUACUGACGCUGAGGUGCGAAAGCGUGGGGAGCAAACAGG
rnacentral:rRNA from 1 species